rnacentral:tRNA from 2 species
CGCGGGGUGGAGCAGCUUGGUAGCUCGUCGGGCUCAUAACCCGAAGGUCGUYGGUUCAAAUCCGGCCCCCGCAACCA